rnacentral:rRNA from 1 species
UCUCCUGGAAAACGGGUGGUAAUGCCGGAUGCUCCAGUUGACCGCAUGGUCCUCUGGGAAAGCUUUUGCGGUAUGGGAUGGGGUCGCGUCCUAUCAGCUUGAUGGCGGGGUAACGGCCCACCAUGGCUUCGACGGGUAGCCGGCCUGAGAGGGCGACCGGCCACAUUGGGACUGAGAUACGGCCCAGACUCCUACGGGAGGCAGCAGUGGGGAAUAUUGCACAAUGGGCGCAAGCCUGAUGCAGCGACGCCGCGUGCGGGAUGACGGCCUUCGGGUUGUAAACCGCUUUUGACUGGGAGCAAGCCCUUCGGGGUGAGUGUACCUUUCGAAUAAGCACCGGCUAACUACGUGCCAGCAGCCGCGGUAAUACGUAGGGUGCAAGCGUUAUCCGGAAUUAUUGGGCGUAAAGGGCUCGUAGGCGGUUCGUCGCGUCCGGUGUGAAAGUCCAUCGCUUAACGGUGGAUCCGCGCCGGGUACGGGCGGGCUUGAGUGCGGUAGGGGAGACUGGAAUUCCCGGUGUAACGGUGGAAUGUGUAGAUAUCGGGAAAGAACACCACA